UACAUGGGGUGCAAACGUUGCUCGGAAUUAUUGGGCGUAAAGCGCACGUAGGCGGAUUGUUAAGUCGGGGGUGAAAUCCUGGAGCUCAACUCCAGAACUGCCUUCGAUACUGGAGAGCUUGAGUCCGGGAGAGGUGAGUGGAACUGCGAGUGUAGAGGUGAAAUGCGCAGAUAUCAGGAGGAACACCAAUGCGAAGGCAGCUCGCUGGGACGUUACUGACGCUGAGACGCGAAAGCGUGGGGAGCAAACAGG
rnacentral:rRNA from 1 species